UACGGAGGAUGCAAGCGUUAUCCGGAAUGAUUGGGCGUAAAGCGUCCGCAGGUGGCAAUGUAAGUCUGCUGUUAAAGAGUCUAGCUCAACUAGAUAAAAGCAGUGGAAACUACAUAGCUAGAGUAUGGUAGGGGCAGAGGGAAUUCCUGGUGUAGCGGUGAAAUGCGUAGAGAUCAGGAAGAACAUCGGUGGCGAAGGCGCUCUGCUGGACCAUAACUGACACUCAGGGACGAAAGCUAGGGGAGCGAAUGGG
rnacentral:rRNA from 1 species